UAUAGGUGCUACACACAUUCAUAAACUAAAGUUGAAUAACCAAUCAGCAACCAUCUGAGUAGAAUCUUAUCUAAAAUCUGUUCGGAGAAUGAAGAGUCUCAUCAUCGCCAGUGUUCUCGUGGUUGCUAUGGCAAUGAUGGCAACAGCCGCACCUAAUCCAGAUCAACCAAUACGGAGGAGUGCAGACCUAAAUCGCAUUCAAGAGUUGCUCAUGGAAAUGGCAGAGGCAAAGGAAGAAGAAACUCCCAGUCAGGAAAUGUGUAUAGACCAAAAUGGGAAAGGAGCAACCAGUGUGUGUGGG